rnacentral:rRNA from 1 species
GUGGCGAACGGGUGAGUAAUACAUCGGAACGUGCCCGAUCGUGGGGGAUAACGGAGCGAAAGCUUUGCUAAUACCGCAUACGAUCUACGGAUGAAAGCAGGGGACCGCAAGGCCUUGCGCGGACGGAGCGGCCGAUGGCAGAUUAGGUAGUUGGUGGGAUAAAAGCUUACCAAGCCGACGAUCUGUAGCUGGUCUGAGAGGACGACCAGCCACACUGGGACUGAGAUACGGCCCAGACUCCUACGGGAGGCAGCAGUGGGGAAUUUUGGACAAUGGGCGAAAGCCUGAUCCAGCCAUGCCGCGUGCAGGAUGAAGGCCUUCGGGUUGUAAACUGCUUUUGUACGGAACGAAAAGACUCCUUCUAAUAAAGGGGGUUCAUGACGGUACCGUAAGAAUAAGCACCGGCUAACUACGUGCCAGCAGCCGCGGUAAUACGUAGGGUGCAAGCGUUAAUCGGAAUUACUGGGCGUAAAGCGUGCGCAGGCGGUUAUAUAAGACAGAUGUGAAAUCCCCGGGCUCAACCUGGGAACUGCAUUUGUGACUGUAUAGCUAGAGUACGGCA